ensembl:lncRNA
GGCCACACACUGCUAGCCCUCUGUUGCCCAUUGGCUGGCCCAAUUGGAGGGAAUUUAGAGAGAGAGAAAAAAAAACAACAUAGCGGACCGGACCGGCCCACAUUGGGUCAACGGCCCACCGGGACGAUGCCCGGUAUGCCAGAUGGCCAGUCCACCCCUGACUACCGUCAUCCACCAGCCGGCGACGGAGAGCGCCCGUUGAACCCCAAUCAGCGAGAUGGGAGACACCUGGCUGGACAGCCAGGAAGACAUUUUAAAAGGAGCACGAGGACUGACAUUUGGGAGGAACGGGAGCGAGGAAGAAGGAAGCGCUCGGGUCUGCGAGCGACUAGAGGCCCACGGAGGCCCUAGAGACCGUCUAUCUUGGAUAUUUAACUGCAGUUCUGUGAGUACCCCAACUUAACCAUGAAGAUGAACUGCAAACUGUAAGUCAUUAAUUUCUCAUUAAUCUUGGGCACAUUGAUGUAUUUUGGCUUCCUGGUGGGUUAACCUGUUACCUGAAGGUUGAUCUGAGUAGUAAGGAUGUUUUAUUGGUUCAUGGGUUACUUAGGUGUUUGGUUUAUGUUGGUUUUAAUGAUUUGUUAAAAUGGUUACAGGCUCCAAGUUAUUGUUGUAAGAUGGAGUAAUGGGUUUGGUUCUGAUAUUUUUAGUCUUCUUUCAUUCUACUCUCCUGAGCUCUGCAUCUUCAUCACAUGAGUGUUGCUCUACUGUGAGGGUGUGGUCUGAGUGAGCAGAGGUGCAUACUGGGAUACAGAGCUGUCUCGAGUCUACAGGUCUGUAGACACGCCCCCUCAGGGGAAACCGAGUGUUUGAGAAAGCGUCGUGACGUCAGUUACAUGGACUGGAAUGUUCUUAAAGAUGGAGACGGGGAUUCAGAAGGAGAAACACCAGGGGGAGAUGAGGGGGCUCCUCAUCUCAACGACUAAAACACAACUUCAGUCUGACAAAGAGAACCAUGGAACACAUUCAACCGUCCCCUCCAGGCAUCGUGACUCCUCAGGAACAGUUUCAUUUCCAAGAAGGUCUUAUCUGGGGCCAUCCCCAUAUGGAUCCUGCUCCUCAAGAGCCACACCCCUCCACUGGGUUGUCUUCUGAACAGAUGAUCUCCUUCCUGUCCUCAGGCUGACUAAAGCUGCACCGUUUGCAUCUGUGAAGGCCCCUCAAUCACUAAACCACUGGACUACAAAAACAUGACUUCAGAGAUGUUGAAUCAACCUGGGACACAUUUUGGAGACGCCAAGCAUAAUCCAUCACCAAUGUGGGACGCCACUGAAGAAUGCUGUACAUAAUUUACGUCUCUGGAGACAUUGGUUGUUCUGUUCUGGGUGCCCUGGCAGGAGAGCUGGGGGUGGAUGAUGGAAUGUAAUUUGCUAUGAGGUUUUUACCCUGCAUGAUUGUCUGGCCUUUUAUGGCUCAGUGGUGUGUGUGUUUGGGUUUGACAUGAGAUGGAAGAUUUUUGAGCAUCUCUAGGGUUCUACUGUGUGUGUCUCCCACUCACACCUGGCAUGGCGUUCUACGUGCCUGUCCUGGAUUCUAUGUGUGUGUGUCCGGCUUGCUUUGACAGUGAUGAUGUUCAUACAGGGGUCUGUGUGAUUGGCUUGGGAUAUUGGAAUGGUCAACUAAAUCAUACCUGAUGGACGGCCACAUGUUUACUUAAGGGCCUCCAGUAGACAUGAAGAGCCCUGAGCGAUGCUCCGGAGCGAGAUCCAACACACUGGGCAGGAAGGAGGGUAACCAACUCAAGUGUAAAAGGAUGCAAGCGGCGUGUUCAGAUCAGUGACUUCAAACUAGGACUACACCAAUCAGGAUCAAUGGAGGAUUGACACCUAAAGGAAUUCCACAAGGAGAGUCUGACGUUGGAAAGGGACCUCAAUGGAUGUUCAUGAUGACCUUCAGACCUGUAAUGAGACGGCUCUUCCUACCUGGCUGGAUUGAUGGAGAGCCCUGUGGAUCUUGUCUUGCUCUCAGUUGCACUUCUUCUCAGGCUGAACUGUAAUUGUUUCGGACAGGACUAGCUGAACGAUUGGUUCCCUUAAAUCAGAACCAACCCGGGAACUCCAGCUAGUGCGCUCUUCGAGCUGAAAUUGUGCUCUUCAGUUGAGGCGGUAAGGAAACCUUCACUGGGGCUUCAAGGUGUAAAGAGGAGAAUGUUUCAAAGUGUUCCAUGGUACUCUGAUGAAGACCGUUGUUGUGUUCCACUGGCUGCGAGGAAGAACCCACACAUCUUCCUCUUGGCCUUUCUCCUCUGAGAAUCCUGGCGCCAUCUUGAAGGAUAUUCCAGCUCAUGUAACUGAUGUCACGACAGAUUCUCAAACAUUUCGUUUCUCCUGAGGGGCGUGUCUAUGGAACUGAAGACUUCAGACAGCACUGUAUCCCAGCAUGCAUCUCUGCUCACUCAGACCACACCCCCAUGAGUAGGAUGCAACACUCUAGUGAUGGAGAUGUAGAGUUUUAUAAAUAACGAGGGAGCAGACUAAGGUGAUUGGAACACAAUGGAAUGUCAAGUCUGUACAUUUUUAAGCCAUGAAGAUGGUUGGAUAGUUCAGGAAUUGGGCUUCUUUUUAUUAUGGGCAGUCCUUUCAGAUGCCCACUUCUCACUGGAGCUGUACAUGUGUUGGCUGGCAUGAUUCGCUGUUGGUGAUGAGGCGGUCAGGGUGACGUUACAGGGCUAUGGUCGGCUCUCUGUGAGCUCAACGUUUAGAUUUGCUCUGUAUGGUUUGUACCCUGAAUAAUCUAGAUAAUUGUAAAAUGUAGACACGGAUUUGUAUUGAAUGAUUCCCGGUUUUUAGGUUUAAGGUUGUUGUGGGACGUACAUGGUAGUUUGGUUCUUCGUAUGGUUUUGAGUGAUAUAACUUGUGCACACUGGGUGCAUAAUAAUGUAAAGGUACACUGAAUAUUAUCAAUGACCAACAGCAACAAACGGAUCUCCUCAAGGUAAGUCUGUUGGCUGUGUUUUAAUGAAGACCAUCGCUGGACUUCAGGAUCUUCCUCCGUUCAGCUCAAGGUGAGGCGCUGGUUAUGUUUUUUCUUUGGUUGGUUCCGGCCGGAAUGUUCGUAUUCCAGUCGGACGGUUUGUGCUUCCCGCCGUGGAAGGUUCUGAGUGCGGUCACUUGAUUUAGUCCCAAUGGUUAGCAUAGAACGUUGUAGUCUUGACAACCAUAAGAAACCACCUGGCAGUUAGUUUGACGGGAGUCCCCUGAGGGAAUCUGGCGGAACGUUCUUGAUUGUAUUUGAGUAACCUCGAAGCGUUGCCAACGGAAACAAUUUUUUCAGUCGGUUUCCAUUGGGAAUUGUUGCCCCCUAUCUUAAACAACUAAAGUUUGAUAUUAAAUACAUACUGAGACGUACGUCGUACAAUACGUUGAUAAUUUCCGAUGGUUGCGCCGUACUUUUAACCACGAUGACGUUGCGGGACUCUCACUGCGUUCAAAACCGCGUUCUACUUGCGGGCCCAUUUUUAACAUCAGUGAAGGCUGAAAAUCAUUUCAAGGUGGAAGAUAAUUUGACAUUUCUUCAACGGAACCCAGCACCUGAAUAUGGCUGAGUAUAUUUGAUUUAAUAUCGAUACUGCUUAGUGUUCUUUUAUUACUUCAGCUUUUGUACGUUCUAAAUAUCUGCUGUCAUUAAUUGCCACAGAAGUUAAACCCUACCCAAUGGAAUGACGUUAACCCACGACUUUGGUGCAGAGUUACCAACUGGAUAAUAUCAAAGCUAAAAUAAUGGCCGUCAUUCCCACAUGUUACAGUAGAAGAUACUCUAGAACUGUACAAGGUUAAAAAGGUAACGUGUAGUUUGUCCCAAGGUGUCUGCCUCCUCACCCAGAGCCAGACCUCCACCUCCUCACCCAGAGCCAGACCUCCACCUCCUCACCCAGAGCCAGACCUCCACCUCCUCACCCAGAGCCAGACCUCCACCUCCUCACCCAGAGCCAGACCUCCACCUCCGGUCAGAAGUCCUCCAGAACAGCUGAAAGGCGAGGCUGAGAGGCUGGGGACCAGAGGCUUGUGGUGCCAGGAUGGACCGGAGACUGAGACUGGAGACCAGGGGCCUGCAGCACCGGACCAGAGGGUAUAUAUACCAGACGACUACAUCUGUUUUACCACAUGUUGAAGCAAGACUUCCGCUGUUUGUUCCAGACCAGGACUCUGUCUGAGGAGAGCUGCUGGAGGAGCUGAGACGCUGGAGGACGACUAGGAAUCGACCAACAAGGAUUCCUCGUAGAACGUGUUUCUGGAGCGGAGGCGAGCUGGUAGGGGAGCCGUGAAUCUGGAGGAUGACCAUCACUCUACCAACCAGGGUUACCAGGAAUCUUGAGGACUGAUGGAGAAGCCGUACAUCUGGAAGGCAAAUCCUGAGGACCACCAGGAAUCUACCAUCAAGGAUUCCUCAUAAAUGUGCAGUAUCUGGACAUAGUGGACCAGACACACCUGAACUGAACCUCACCUGAUCCUGUUUGGUCGGGGGUAGACACACCUGAGCUAAACCCGCCCUGAUCCUGACAUCCUGCUGGUCCCGUCUCCUCAGUUCAUCUGAGCCUCGUCCUCCAGAAGACCUGCUGAGCUCAGCAGUCUGAGGCUGAUGGAUCAAUGACCUCCAGUGGGAGUGUUCUUCUUGACCCCACAUGUAACCGUGUGCUUCCACACGCCUUUCCCUCACGUCUGUCACUAACCUCACUACUUCACUACUCUCUACUGCUUCCUCUUCUUUUUCCUUCUCUGUGGUUCGAACCUUUACACGGAAGGCGCGUCUUCCUGCCCUCAGAGGGUUUAGCGUUAGGGUUGAGAGUCAGGGUUUAGAGUCAGGGACAGAGCUGGUCAGGGAGGACUGCUUUUACACAAACCUCUUCACUUGCUUUCGGUAUGGUGGUGACAUUUUGGAAAGAUUAAUUUGGGAAAAUGUUUUCCUCUGCUUUCCUUUACAAAAUUGUAUCAAACUUAUGUCAAGUGUUUAUAUAUUAAAAUCCCACAUUGACUUCUACAUGUUUGUGACGGUUCAUUUAAUUGUCCUUUAACUUGGUUAAUGUCAAGCUAAACUCCCGCAAUACAUUUAAUAUACAUGAUUGUUAUUCUGCAAUGUUCACAUAAUCCAUUUUGUAAAAAUAUGAAACCUCCAUAUUAGCCUACUACUGG